ACCUUGUAAGCCAGAAGUUCUGCUUUUCUCUUAUUUUUCGUUUGAAUAAAAGGUCACCUUCGGAUCGGAAAUAUCUGGAUUGUUUGGAAACCAGUAGAGAAUCUGUUGAAAUGGUGGAGUAUUCUGUUUCAGCUGAACGAGCGGACCCUCCAUAAUGACAUGCACCUGCCAGGAUGUCUGUUUUUGACAUGGGAAGCAUCAUAUUGUAACACUCAUCAAAGGACUGAAUAAUACCGAAC